CCCUAGCCCUGAUGAAAGCGGCAUCCUUUUGCGGCGUAGCGCAGCGGAGCCGUAAAAGAUAUAGCGGACAGCAGGAAUUGGC
rnacentral:sRNA from 1 species